UCUCUCUAAUUUUCCCAAACUUAAGAAAAUCCAGAAUAGAUUUGACUUUCGAUAUCAAGGGUCACGCUCGUAAAGUCCGAAAAUAUAUAUACCAUGUUAAAAGGGGAGGAUAGAGUAAGUUAAAUUUUUAGGCAUUGUCAGAGCUGUACUACGUUAAUCCGCAAAUGGGCGGAGGAGCGGUGGAGACCACAGAGGAUGAACUAGAAGAUGAGGAAGAGGUUGAAGAGGGGAAGGUAGAGGACGAAGUAAAAGAGGGCGAGGCCAUGGGCGAGGCGCACGUGAGCGACGAGGAAAGAGAAAAAAAGGUCACGGAGUCCGAACAGGAACCUUCGAGAAAAUACGAAGUGAUUGGUACGCUUCUGGAGUAUAAGUAUCCUUACCCCGAAGAAGUAACGAGAAUCAUCAGAGAUACAGACGAUCGUAAGGAUCUAUUGUCAGAGUUAAUGAAAUGCGGAGUUAUUAUUUACGACAUUACACAAGAUCGAAGUCAGGUUGGGGAAGCUUCUUGGGUAUUACAAGCCAUCCAGGAAAUAUUAGAAAGUUUUGAUGACGAUACGGCGACAAAAAUUUUUAACAAGGAGAAUAAAAAAAGUAAAAGAAAUAAAACGAAGGAAAAAGCAAAGAUACCUCGAUAUUUUAUCCUGAUUUCAACGAUAAUGACAUGGGCCUUUACGAAGCCAUUGGAUCCGGAAGAUCCGGAUUUGCCGUUCACAGAAGUGGAUUACAGAAAGCGACGAGCUCAUCCGAAUUUUAAGGAACACCUACGAUGCGAGAGAGACGUUGUUAUCGUUAAGAAAAAUGUCAAGUUGAAAAGAAAGUUAAAGACUCUGGUAAUUUGUUGUGGAGUUACUUAUGGAGAAGAGCAAAAUGGGCUUCAUUAUCUCUUUAAAAUGGCUUGGCUGAACGAGCCCUUUCUGCCAAUUAUCGGCGAUGGUAAAAACAGGAUCCCUCUUCUUCAUAUUCGCGACUUAAUUUCAAAAUCAGCAAGGAAUUAACGACUGGAGAGGUAAAGCAUAUCGGUCUGGAAGAAUCCUUCCUACAUCCGGAAAUCAAUCAACGAAUUUAUGAUUUAAUGACGGUUGAUUUAAAUAUCGAUCCCGUUUACGUUCUCGAGAGGAUACGCUGGCAUUUCGACACGCCAUUUAUAGACAAUAUCAGAGCUAUCAUAAAAGAAUAUAAAGCGUGGAGAGAACUUCAACCGAUAAGAAUAAUUGUCCUUGGGCCGCCAGCCUCCGGGAAAACACGAGUGGCUCGCUAUCUUGUCGAGCAUUAUCGUUUGCACUAUAUUAACGUGGAGAAUUUGAUCAAUAAUACCAUUAAAAAAUUGUCCGAAGAAAUCAAAAAGAAAACAGCUACGAUAGAAAAGGAGGAUGAAAAAAGAGAAACGGAAAAACCGAGUGGAUUGGAUGUUGAGGAGGAGGAUGAUAAUGAAGAAGAGCGUAUCACGUUGGAAGAAUUACAGCAACAGCUGGACGAAAUACGAAAUAAUUUAUAUCAAAAUGAUGGAGUUCUUAAUGAUGUUAUCCUGAACAAGUCAGCUAUUAUUUGCUUCGUUACUCGUUUCAUUUCCGAUUCCGUACGUUGCUUCCUUAAAUUACUAUAGAAUUAUUGAAAUACAUGGUAUUGAUUAUCGCGAAGUAAAGCACGUGAAAAGGAAGAACAGCGGUAAAAACCUAACUUUACGACGAGAAAUAGAGAUUUCUCUCUCUCUCUCUCUCUCUCUUUCUCUCUCUUUCUCUCUCUACUUCGAUUUCUUUAAAGUUCUUGUAAAAAAUUAAGCAAAAACGGAAUUAAAGGUUGUUUCUGAAGAGACUUUGGUCGAAGGAUUGCUUGAAUCAAGGAUACGUUAUAGAUGGAUAUCCAAAGACGUACGAACAGGCUAAAAUACUAUUUGAACAUGCGGAAGAAAUGGUAGAGGAAAUGGAAGAAAAGGAUGAUGA